GACCACGACCACAACGAGAAGCGCGACGACCGAACUCAGCACCCCACCCACCGCGAGGGGGACCAGAGUGCCGUUAUAGGUCUGCCCGAUGGCCGUCCCCACCCCGAUUCCGAUCAGGGUUGUGAUCGNGGCGGUUCCGGCGAUAUGUCCCUGAGGCUCCAUCGCAAGCGCGGAGAAAUUGGAGAACAUCAAUCCGAACGAGAACAGGCUGGCGGUGGACAGGACCAUGAACAGAGGCA
rnacentral:misc_RNA from 1 species